rnacentral:rRNA from 1 species
AAAAAUUAAUUGUAUUAUACUAAAGUAGUAUUAGUUAAGUUCUUGAAAUUUAAAAAAUUUGGCGGUAUUUUAGUCUAUUCAGAGGAACCUGUUUAUUAAUCGAUAAUCCACGUUGGACCUUACUUAGUUUAUAUUUAGUUUAUAUAUCGUUGUUUAUAGAAUAUUUUAUAAAAAAAAUAAUUUUCGUAAAUUUUUAUUUAAAAAUAUAUCAGAUCAAGAUGUAGCUAAUAGCUAAGAAUUUAAUGGGUUACAAUAAAUUUAUUUAUUGGAUUUAGACUUGAAAUUUUUUAAUGAAAAUGGAUUUGACUGUAAAUUUAUAAAGAUAAAUAAGUUGAUUUUAGCUCUAAAAUAUG